GACGAACGCUGGCGGCGUGCUUAACACAUGCAAGUCGAACGAAGAGCGAUGGAAGCUUGCUUCUAUCAAUCUUAGUGGCGCACGGGUGAGUAACGCGUAAUCAACCUGCCCUUCAGAGGGGGACAACAGUUGGAAACGACUUCUGAUACCGCAUACGAUCUAAUCUCGGCAUCGAGGAUAGAUGAAAGGUGGCCUCUACAUUUAAGCUAUCACUGACGGAGGGGAUUGCGUCUGAUUAGGUGGUUGGUGGGGUAACGGCCCACCAAGGCGAUGAUCAGUAGCCGGUCUGAGAGGAUGAACGGCCACAUUGGGACUGAGACACGGCCCAGACUCCUACGGGAGGCAGCAGUGGGGAAUCUUCCGCAAUGGACGAAAGUCUGACGGAGCAACGCCGCGUGAGUGAUGACGGCCGUCGGGUUGUAAAGCUCUGUUAAUCGGGACGAAAGGCCUUCUUGCGAAUAGUGAGAAGGAUUGACGGUACCGGAAGAGAAAGCCACGGCUAACUACGUG
rnacentral:rRNA from 1 species